rnacentral:rRNA from 1 species
GAGGAAAAGAAACCAACAGGGAUUGCUCUAGUAACGGCGAGUGAACAAGCAAAAGCUCAGUUUUGAAAGCCUACUUUGUAGGCAUUGUAUUCUGAAGCCUAGAUUCUGGGAAACGGUGUUUAAGUCUUCUGGAAAGGAGCGCCACGGAGGGUGAUAGCCCCGUACGGCACUGACCCCAUUGUAGUUUCUAGGCGUGGAGUCGAGUUGUUUGGGAAUGCAGCUCAAAUGGGAGGUAUGCUCCUUCUAAAGCUAAAUAUUUGCGAGAGACCGAUAGCGAACAAGUACUGUGAAGGAAAGAUGAAAAGAACUUUGAAAAGAGAGUGAAAUAGGACGUGAAAUUGUUGAAAUGGAAGGGUAGGCUGCUAACCAUGUAGGACCGUGUCUGAGGGGAAGAUAAAAGCUACGGAAUGUGACUCUUCGGAGUGUUAUAGCCGUGGUCAAUGUUCCCACUUAGGCGCGAGGAUCUCAGGUUCUACUAAAUGGUGGUCUACCACCCGUCU